rnacentral:rRNA from 2 species
ACUUACGGCCAUACCAGCCUGGGUACGCCCGAUCUCGUCUGAUCUCGGAAGCUAAGCAGGGUCGGGCCUGGUUAGUACUUGGAUGGGAGACCGCCUGGGAAUACCAGGUGCUGUAAGCA